GGGGCGGAGAGCAAGCGCCCGUCUAAAGGAGCCUGUUUUCUGUUUUAAAACAGCCAGAGGCGACAAUGUUUGCUGCACACGCUUUGCCCCAAACGGUUGCCAGGUGUGGGAUGAGGAGACGGCAGGAGCCGCCGUGUUCGUGGUGACCGUGCUUUCCGUCGCCUCGUGCAGGGCCAGACGCCUGGACCCGAAGUAAAACCCCCAACACAUGGAAGAUGUUAAUGAAGCAUUUUUUUAUUCUGGAAAGAAGACCACCAGACCACUGAGCACCAGCUUUGAAAACAACAUAAGCUUCCUCUGCCCUGGUCCUUAUCUGUGGCCGUUUUUUUCACUCCUCAAACUAUAAAACCACCUCCCAAGCUCCCCUAAGGGGGGCACCGUCUUUGAGGCAUUAGCCUGCGGUGACCCUCCUUUGCCUGGCAAAGCAAUAAAGCUAUUUUCUUCUCUUUUGCCCAACACUCCGUCUCCAUGUCUCUAUUUGGCACUGGUGGGCAGAGGCCGCAUCCUGGCAACAGUCUCUUUCAAGAAAAGGUUCAAAUCUAGAAGUGAAGAGAGCCAUGAAAAAAUUGUUCUCGUACAGUUUUUAAAGGUCAUUUUGAAAACAUGUUUCAUUUUCUGCCUCAGUGCAGACGCGGGCUUUUCUCUACUCAGUAAGAUCUUUGGCUUAGUUUUAUCAUCGCCAGAAAUAGGAUCUGCGUUCAGGAAAAAUGAAGAUCUGCUGACCCCCAGUUUGUUGUGACGGAAUGAACUCAAAUCUUCAACAGGAACGCAAAUAAAAUGAAUGUUAUUAAUGAAAAACGAGCCUAAAGAGAAUACGUAUGUUUUAUUUCAUAUCUGAGCUGAAAAGAUGACACAUAUCAUAUCAGACAUUCAUUAAGAUCCAGAAAUUUAUUUUAUUGAGCUAUAUUUUAAAUUAUCCUCUUGUCCGCUCCUGAGGGAUCUAGUGUAAGAAACUUUUAUUUCUUUUUGUUUCCAUCACUCUGAGAUCUAUCCUGUGUUAAAACACAGUACGUUGCUAAGAGCAACCUGUGGUCUUGACUUGAGCCAUCCCGGCUUUGCUCUCUCAUUGAAGUUGAAUGCAAUUCUACGGCUCAAUAUGAAUCAGAUGGGAUCUAAAAGUAGACCUGAAACUUCUCCAGAUGGUCAUGUGGAGCUCAGUGGGUGUAGUCCAUCGAGUCUCAAGAUUCUUCCGCACGACUUGUAUCUUCUGGAGAAACUACGUAUCAAAAACCUCAUGAAAAAUAAAAUAUUACCUGCCAUAUCAGUAAACAAGAAUGUCAGUGAUUUCAGCCACCUCAGACAGUGAGCAGAGCUGGUGAGCCCUGAGGGAACUCAGAAAGGAGACAAUACCUGCCAUCUAGCAGCCAUCAGACUCUAGCCACUCCGGAGGGUGAGCCCUGAGGAAAACUCAGGACGCAAGAACACAGGAUACUGGCCCUAGACAGCUGAGGUGCCUAUCAAAGGAACAAUUGCAGGGAGCCCAGCCUUUGCAUCUUCCUACACUAGAAAAGCUCUAAAAUCCUUGAGCUACCUGCCUUCUUUGAAUAGCAGUAAUCUUUUGCUCUUACUACUUGCCCUUGGUUGCAAAAUUCCUAUACAUCCUAGCUCCCCACUCAUUCAUAUGAGCAGGUUUUCUCAGGGUUACUUGAGAUGCUGCCUCUUGGGCUUAAGUCCUCAUCUCUCCCAGAAUAAAACUUAACGCUCAACUUUUAGGUUACACAUGUAUUUUUUUUUUAGUUGACACUCUCAAUGAGCUAUGUAUGUGUUAUUUGUGACAUAAAUUAUAACACAAUAAUAAUAAAUUAUAAGUUAAAUUCGAAGUGAAGAAUAACUGUUCAGUCAAGUUUAUUCAUUUAGAACGUAGCAUAUUUGGCAUUAAGCUAAAAUGCUAUUGAUAAAUAAAUAAAUAUCAUUAAUAUUUUCAUGGGAUAUUUGUUCCAGAAUUCCAGACGGAUGUUUAAUGGACUUAUACACUAAGAUAUGAACUCCUAUAUUGUGAGAAUUAGGAAGGUUCUCUGAUAAUGCAAAUGAGAGGUCUUUUGGCUGAUUUGAGGUCAAGCCUCUAACUAUCACUUAACUAGUUGAUUAACAAACAAUGUGAAUUAUCCCUUGAUUAAUAACGCACUAUGCUAGCUGUACCCCUAAUUCCACUAGUAUUGAUAACAUUGAAUACAUAAAAUAGCCCAGGUAGAUGUGAUAAAGGAUUGACUGAAGGAAAUCCAAUCCUUGCAUUCAUCUUUAUAAUUGCAAAUUUAUACUUAAAUGGGAAGAAUAACAGAGCACUUUAGACCAGAACCACAAUGAUGUCAACAUCGCAUCCUUAUAAAAUUGUCUUUGCUGAAUCUUCAUUUCUUGUUAUGCAGGACACUAUAUGAAACAACAAGAAAAGUCAAUUGUUUUUAUUACAGAAAAUGCCGUAAGUUAUGACAAUGGGCUGUAUUGGUUAGGUCUUAUGAAAAAUAAAUUCUCCCAACUCAGCAUCAUAUGCAGGACACUAUAUGAAACAACAAGAAAAGUCAAUUGUUUUUAUUACAGAAAAUGCCGUAAGUUAUGACAAUGGGCUGUAUUGGUUAGGUCUUAUGAAAAAUAAAUUCUCCCAACUCAGCAUCAGAAACAUUGAGCCUUUCCAGAACAAGUUGUUUUGGUCAAGCUUUUAUAAAACUAAUAAUUCAGAAGUCUCUCCUUUUUUGUAGACAAAAUGGUUGAAGGAAAAUUUGAAUUCACAUUGUAGCAAUUUUUAAGAAGCAUAACAUGAAUUUCUGUUUCUGUAAUCAGACAAUAUUUCCUUUUUCAUAUUUUACUUGGCCUGAUUUUCACUAAUUAUAUAUAUAUUUUUCUUCUUACUUGUAUUUUUCUGCAACCUAUGUCAAUUUAACAGUUAAGUGAGUGGCAAGGUAAAUAAAUAAACAAUAGUAAAGUAAAAAACAGAUUUGAAUUGGCGCUAAGAUGAUAUGGAGAAUUUCCUAAAUAGUUUGAUUGAAGAGAGACAAUGAUUUUAACUAGAUCAAUCCUCCUUAAAAAAAAAAAAAAGAAUAGUCUGGGACAGAAUAAUCAAAGGCUUAAACAUGACCAAAAUUCAUCUUGAAAAUGACCAGGGUCUUUUGGUUAUAACCUUUGAAAAAUUUUAAAGAAUUGUAUAACUAUGAUAUUGGAAAUAUGAAAGAAAAGUUCUGAUAUUUUCAUUCAUAAUGCAUGCAAUAUAUUUUGUUCACUUUGUAAUUAUGAGCAUGUAUCCCCACACAAUAAAAAUUGCAUCGA
rnacentral:lncRNA from 1 species